AUGCUCACAUCAGCAGCACAUAUACUAAAAUUGGAACCAUAAAGAGAAGAUUAGCACAGCCUUUGCUCAAGGAUGACACUCCACAGAGCAGAAAGUCUCACCUUGCUU